GCCAGAAGCAGCACUGUAAUGAGGUGCAGCAGAAGCUCAACUUUGUGGAGGAAAGGAAGCUGGAUCGCCUGGAGCUGAAGGCUUUCAGUAACCAGUUGGUGGAGAUGUGGAAGAAAAGCAUUUCAGAGCUUGAGAGUAAGAUCAAGGAGGACGACACAGCUGCUGGGAUUAAGAGGCAGCUGCCAGUGCCCUUCUCGUGCCUGUCCUGUGACCGCAUGCUCUCCAUGCAGGUUCCUGGCCCGUACCCCGAGACACUCCCAUAUUUGCAGCCGCUGCCCCCCAGCAAGGAGACCCGGCACAGCCAAAGGUAG